CGGACUGGCAGGGACUCGGAGGCGCGGGGGCGGUGCUCCUCCCUGGUGAUGUCUGAGGAGAGGAAGGAGGUGAGGUAGUGAGUCGAGAUUGCUGGCCCAGAGAGAGAGAGAGAGAGAGAGAGAGAGAGAGAGAGAGAGAGAGAGAGAGAGAGAGAGAGAGAGAGAGAGA